UAGUGCAGGAACUUCUUGCCUCUAAUCCUGAUCCUUACUCUCUUCAUAGGGAUGGACCGAGUUACUGGAUCAAAAAGAGGCUGACAUACGCUGGUUCCCAUUUGGAGGAACCAAUCUUUCAAAGGCCCGUUACUCUCCUUCCCUCUACCUGGGACAGGUGCCAGGCUGCCAUCCUGGUUCCUGACUUCACAGGUGCACACCAUGCCCUCCAGAAGAUCAGAGAGUGUCCUUGCCUACAGUGCUCUUGGAAAGGACCAACCAGAGCCAGCCAGAUAUGACCCCUAACCGAUCACAUCGGAUAUCCUGCUUCUGGUUAGUUCACCUGCCGCCUCCCCACUCCCAGCAGCCUCUGGUUGGGCCACACCUGAAGCCUUGCCUUUCUCCAUGGUAAAUCUUGCCCCCUGCCCUGCCUGCCUUCGAGUCUCUGCCCUGAUGCAAGUGACGGGAAUGGACUCUCGUUCUACAGCGGGUUCAGAAUAGACUUUUGCUUGUGUUAUUUGGAUUUGGUUUAUUUCUACAUAGUCGGUUCUCAAUAAUUGUUGAGUGGAGGAAGAAAAGGGUUAAAGAUGUUGAGGAAAUCUACAUGGAAUACAAUUAUCCCCAGCUUUACUGAGCUACACCUGCCACCACGUUGCGUAAGUUUAAGGUGAUUUGCGACACGCACAGCUACGUAAUUUUUAUUCGCCAAGCACAUGUAACGAAGCUGGGAAAAAUCCACAUUAAAAAAAAAAAGAACAAAGGAAGGAAGUAGGGAAUCUGUUCUGUUUCUUUGUUUAGAGGGACUACUAGAUUUUUGCCAUUUGACAUAAUUUUCUCCAUUAAAAACAAUCAGGCUGAGAAAAGACAAGAAUUCAACAUCUCACGUGACUGAACCAUGAGGUUAAAAUGUGGGUUCUGAUCCAGUAGGUCUGGGGUGGGGCCUGAGGUCCUGCGUUGUAACAAGGUUCUGCAGGGAGCCAGUGCUGCUGGCUUAUCCCACACUCAACGCAGCCAGAGCUUCGAGGUCUGGGAGGUAACUCCAGGCGGACCACACCAUUUCUGUCCCCAACAUCUCAAAACCAAGAUGGAGAGCCUACGUCUCAGAUAGAGAAACUGUAUGUGAUGGUCCCUGGUGGAAAUCAAUUCCUCUACAGGUUACCAAGAACACAGAAAACAAUGUAUAUUUUGAUUCCAAUAAAAAAAAGGAAAUGAUGUUCCCCGGCAGCCUUCCUGUUCAGAAACAAAAACUCCUCCUCAUGCUUUGAUUAAAGGUAAGGUGCUUUCUUAAUCUGGACUUAUUGACGGCACAGCUGGGCAAAUCCCGCUGCGGCAAAUUAUUGCCAAAUGUUGUGGAAUCUCCCUUGCCAUGCUGGUUUGACGGUUUGGUUGGAAUUCUGAGCUAGGGGGAGAAGGACAUUUGGGAAAUUAUUUUGCCUCGCUGAACGUGACAGACCCUGGGACUCGUGUGUGAUGAUUACCAAAACCAGUACUCACGAGCGCUUUCCCAAAUUAGGACUCAUUCCCCUGAGCCGACUCUUUACGACAUGUGCUGAGCCCGACCCAUCCCGAUCGCCCCGUUUUGUCAUCUGACUUGCAGACGGGUGCCUGAUCUCCUUUGAUAUGCUGUACAUGACAUACUAACAAACCCUUCUCUCUAAUCAAAGGGAUCGGACAUAUGCCACCAUCAGGAGCCGGGCGAGGCAAACACAGACCAGAUGUGCUCCUACAGGUCGGACGGAAUGAGUGGAUUUGGAACAUACACUUGGCAUAGUCUCGAAAUUAACCCUAGGAUCUAAUUUUAAAACAAAACCCCACAUUUUUUCACAAGACAGAGACAACACAGCCAGCCAGCAGCUUUCGACAGCAGCAAUACAGCAAAAGUCCUGGGAUAACUUUUCAGGCAUCCGCUUAGAAGUAAAGCAUCAUCUGUGAAAGUUCUUAGGCCAGACGGUCUCUAACGGGACCGUUUUAAAAUAUCUAAUGGGAAAACACUUCCACAAACACCAAUAGGCAUAUGUAUCUAUGGGUUUUAAACCAGCCUUGUAAAUAAAGGUAAUUAUAAUAUUCGCUCACA